AUUCUAAGCUCCCAGGAUUCCAUUAUCACUGAGAUGCUAAGAGUGAACAGAUGUAAAGUGUCAAAAGCUAAAUGAGAAAAAGAAGAGAACGUCAUUCGGAGCCCCAGCAAGUAUCAUGGAACGCCCUGGGAUGUGCCCAGGAAACUAGAGUCACCGGAGGCUCACUUCAAAAGCUGGUCUUCAGUUGCGGCUGAGCAAAGUCCCGGCCUGCGGGUUCCAGCCCGUUGACACUGGAUCACGAAACACAAAUAGGUGUCAUUACUUCUACCAGUUUGAGGAGAAAAACACCCGCUGGUGUCAAGCCUGGAACCAAUGAGAAGAACCUGGAGCUCAUUGGCAGCAUCCUCAGUGGCACUGUUUGCACUACUGGAAGCAAAAGCACAGAGGAAUCAACACCAUCUUCAACUGGUGGGACAGGUUUGUUUGUUUGUUUGUUUAGGGCUGCUCUUGUGGCACGUAAGGCAUAUGGAAGUUCCCAGGCUAGGGGUUGAAUCAGACCUGCAGCUGCCAGCCUACACCACAGCCACAGCAACUCAGGAUCUGAGCCGCCUCUGCAACCUGUUACACCACAGCUCACUGUGACGCCAGAUCCUUGAUCCACUGAGGGAGGCCUGAGAGGGAACCCACAUGAAUGUGAGAUCGUCGUAAACACCACGCCGAGAUGCGAACUCCUGGUGGCACAGGUCUGAGGCGGGUUCCACGUGGUUUCUCAGGACUGGGCUCGUUGACAGACCCCUUUCCGGCUCUUCCUUCCUUCCCACCUUCUCACUCUACUUCUUAGGGGCGCUCCCCUCAAAGCGUCCUAGACCCAAAUCUUGUUUCUCAUUUGGGAAGUUGAUAUUUGGAUCUUCAUCUGUCUGACUCUCACUUCCAUCUCUCAGUUGAUUCUGAACAGUUCCUAUUAUGAAAGAUAAGGAUUUGAUCCUAUCCCAUGCCCCCUCCUCCUCAUUCAAACAUAUGUACUUUUCCAACUUCAUGACUCAAGUACAGUUCUAAAAUCCGUAUUAGAUUAAAUUAGUGUUUAUUACCAAUAAUGAAAUCGGGGUUAGAUAUAUGUUAAUAGAUAUAAUAACGUAGAUAUUAGUAUAAUGGCCAUAAGCAUAAAUCUUAUCUGUUCUACAUGCAUCUUACACUACAUUUCCUUCCUGCCACAACCUUUUUUUUUUUUUUUUGUCAUAUGGAAGUUGCCAGGCUAAUCAGAGCUAUAGCUGCCAGUCUCCGCCACAGCCAGAGCAACACCAGAUCUAAGCCGCGUCUGUGACCUACACCACAGCUCAUGGCAACGCCGGAUCCUUAACCCACUGAGUGAGGCCAGGGAUGGAACCUGCAUCCUCAUGGAUACUAGUUGAUCCAUUAUAGAUGCGCCACCACGGGAACUCCAUGCCACAACUUUUUGGUAGAACCCCUCUGACAGGGUCCACACAUCUGACAAUUUAUCAGUUCUGUUUUUCCCUGGUAACGUUGCUUCUGCCUCCAGCUUCAUUCUGCAGCAGUUUUUGUCUGAGCUAUGCAGAACGAAAUUUCCUUUUGCUUUAGUUUGCUAAGUCAGUUACUACUCCGUGUAUGAUUUCUAGCAGGUGAAAUCUUUUCUUCCAUGAAGUUGUAAGAUUGUUGACAUUGCUUCCAACUAGCUCAUUCAUAACGGCAUGAUGCUUGCAUAAGGUGUUGUAGUUUGUAGAAUCCUUUCACAUAUGUCAUCCAUGUAAUCCUUCCCUCAGUUUGGUAAAAGAGAGGUUAUUAUCUUCAUUGUGCAGAUUCAUUUAACACAGUGCAAGACAGUGCUUCUUAAAUGCCAAGUCCUGUCAAGCCACAUUGACAAAUAACUCAGUCCUCAAAACAGCCCUAAAUGGUAAGAACUAUUACUGUCCCCAUUCCACAGAUAGGAAAAUUGAUGCACAGAGAUUUACUCAAGUUCCAUUAGCUUAUGUAUAAGUAGAGCUGGGUACUCACACAGUAUGGUGAUCUUAAAGAGUAUUUUAUGCUGCAGAUGAAAAUGUUUAAUAAUAGACUAAAAAGUAAUUUUCUAGAGUCAACCAGCAGUUAAGGGGGUCAGAGGAAAGCCUUGAUUCCAGUUUUGUUUUUUUUUUUAAACUCCAUCUAAGAUGCUGUGGGUGCUGAACUUCAUAGCUGACUCAUAAGACACCUCAGAGCAUGAGCUGCUGACAUAGCUGUGGUCAGUGCAUUUGUUUGUAAAUCUCUGUCUCCAUCUGCAAAUGUUUUCUUAGAACAGAUUUUUUUUUUUUUUUUUUUUUUUCGCCUUUUAGGGCUGCACCCGCAGCAUAUGGAUGUUCCCAGGCUAGGGGUUGAAUCGGAGCUGUAACCACUGGCCUACACCACAGGCACAGCCACGCCAGAUCCAAGCCACGUCUGUGACCUACACCACAGCUCACAGCAAUGCUGGAUCCUUAACCCACUGAGUGAGGCCAGGGAUUGAACUUGCCAUCUCAUGGUUCCCGGUCAGAUUCAUUUCCGCUGCACCACGAGACAGGAACUCCUAGAAUGGAAUUUUAGAAGCUAUAUUAUUGGAUUAAGAAGAUAUGAGGAAAUAACCUUUUUAAGGAUGUUAUACAAUUUGCUAAAUAAUUUGUCAGAAUGAUUGUUUGAAUGUAAACUCACCCAUGAAAUAGGAACCACACCACUGCAACCGUUGAAGCACAUUAAUCUCCUUCCUUUUUUUAUUUCAUGGGUGGAAAAUUGAAGUUUACCUUUUACAAAUUUGCAAAAAUUAGAACACUCUUUUGGUAUUUAUCAGCCAUUAGUGCUCCUUGUUUUAAAAACUAUCUUUCAGGAUGGAGUUCCCGUUGUGGCUCAGUGGUAAUGAACCCAAGCAGUAUCCAUGAGAAUGCAGGGUCAAUCCCUGGCCUUGCUCAGUGGGUUAAGGAUCCAGUGUUGCUGUGAGCUGUUCUGUAGCUCACAGACAUGGCUCAGAUCUGGUGUUGCUGUGGUUCUGGCGUAGGCUGGCAGCUGCAGCUCUGUUGCGACCCCUAGCCUGGCAACUUCGAUAUGCUGCGGGCGCAUCCCUAAAAAGACAAAAAUGAGCAAACAAAACAACAAAAAAUAUCUUUCAGGAGUUCCCGCUGUGGUGCAAUGGGAUCUGUGGCAUCUUGGGAGCACUGAGAUGCAGGUUCAAUCCCUGCCAGCAGAGAGGGUUAAGGCUCUGGUGUUGCUGCAGCUGUGGCUUAGGUCACAACUGUGGUUGGAUCUGACCCCUGGCCCAGGAACUACAUAUGCCAUAGGGCAGCCAAAAAAAGAAAAAGAAAAGAAAGGAAAAUCUUUCAUAAUUUUUAUAAGCAAAAAUUAAAAAUAAAUCAGAACAAUACUAAAAUAUUUCUCGGGCU
ensembl:lncRNA